CCUUGUAGUCAUAUGCUUGUCUCAGAGAUUAAGCCAUGCACGUCUAAGUAUAAGCAACUUCGUACUGUGAAACUGCGAAUGGCUCAUUAAAUCAGUUAUAGUUUAUUUGAUGGUUUUUGCUACAUGGAUAACUGUGGUAAUUCUAGAGCUAAUACAUGCAUUCAAGACCCGACUUCUGGAAGGGGUGUAUUCAUUAGAUAAAAAUCAACUUUGUUGGUGAAUCAUAAUAACUUCUCGGACCGCAUGGCCUCGUGCUGGCGGUGCUUCAUUCAAAUAUCUGCCCUAUCAACUGUCGAUGGUAGGAUAGAGGCCUACCAUGGUUGCAACGGGUAACGGGGAAUAAGGGC
rnacentral:rRNA from 1 species